rnacentral:rRNA from 1 species
GACGAACGCUGGCGGCGUGCUUAACACAUGCAAGUCGAACGGAAAGGCCCUGCUUUUGUGGGGUGCUCGAGUGGCGAACGGGUGAGUAACACGUGAGUAACCUGCCCUUGACUUUGGGAUAACUUCAGGAAACUGGGGCUAAUACCGGAUAGGAGCUCCUGCUGCAUGGUGGGGGUUGGAAAGUGUCGGCGGUUGUGGAUGGACUCGCGGCUUAUCAGCUUGUUGGUGGGGUAGUGGCUUACCAAGGCUUUGACGGGUAGCCGGCCUGAGAGGGUGACCGGCCACAUUGGUACUGAGAUACGGCCCAGACUCCUACGGGAGGCAGCAGUCGGGAAUAUUGCACAAUGGGCGGAAGCCUGAUGCAGCAACGCCGCGUGCGGGAUGACGGCCUUCGGGUUGUAAACCGCUUUCGCCUGUGACGAAGCGUGAGUGACGGUAAUGGGUAAAGAAGCACCGGCUAACUACGUG